GAGUAAUGUCUGGGAAACUGCCUGAUGGAGGGGGAUAACUACUGGAAACGGUGGCUAAUACCGCAUAACGUCGCAAGACCAAAGAGGGGGACCUUCGGGCCUCUUGCCAUCAGAUGUGCCCAGAUGGGAUUAGCUUGUUGGUGAGGUAACGGCUCACCAAGGCGACGAUCCCUAGCUGGUCUGAGAGGAUGACCAGCCACACUGGAACUGAGACACGGUCCAGACUCCUACGGGAGGCAGCAGUGGGGAAUAUUGCACAAUGGGCGCAAGCCUGAUGCAGCCAUGCCGCGUGUAUGAAGAAGGCCUUCGGGUUGUAAAGUACUUUCAGCGGGGAGGAAGGUGUUGUGGUUAAUAACCGCAGCAAUUGACGUUACCCGCAGAAGAAGCACCGGCUAACUCCGUGCCAGCAGCCGCGGUAAUACGGAGG
rnacentral:rRNA from 1 species